rnacentral:rRNA from 1 species
CCUACGGGGGGCUGCAGUGAGGAAUUUUCCGCAAUGGGCGAAAGCUUGACGGAGCAAUGUCGCGUGGAGGAAGAAGGCCCGUGGGUUGUAAACUUCUUUUGUCAAAGAAGAAAUAUUGACGGUAUUUGACGAAUAAGCAUCGGCUAACUCUGUGCCAGCAGCCGCGGUAAUACAGAGGAUGCAAGCGUUAUCCGGAAUUAUUGGGCGUAAAGGGUCCUGAGGUGGCUAGCCAAGUCUACUGUGAAAGAUCAGGGCUUAACCCUGAACAGGCGGUA